rnacentral:rRNA from 1 species
GGAAUCUUCUUUUGGAAGGCGAAGUAUUCGUACGGAGCCGGACAUGUGAAGAGGAGAGCGGCGGACGGGUGAGUAACGCGUAGGCAACCUGCCCCUGUCACGGGGAUAGCCACCGGAAACGGUGAUUAAUACCCGAUGACGCGGCGCGGCCGCAUGGCCGUGCCGCCAAAGUCCAGUCGGACAGGGAUGGGCCUGCGUCUGAUUAGGUGGUUGGUAGGGUAACGGCCUACCAAGCCUACGAUCAGUAACCGACCUGAGAGGGUAAUCGGUCACAUUGGAACUGAGACACGGUCCAAACUCCUACGGGAGGCAGCAGUGGGGAAUAUUGCACAAUGGGCGCAAGCCUGAUGCAGCAACGCCGCGUGAAUGAAGAAGGCCCUAUGGGUCGUAAAGUUCUGAUCUGAGGGAAGAUUAUGACGGUACCUCAGGAGAAAGCCCCGGCUAACUACGUGCCAGCAGCCGCGGUAAUACGUAGGGGGCAAGCGUUAUCCGGAAUUAUUGGGCGUAAAGAGUGCGUAGGUGGCCUGCUAAGCGAAGGGUGAAAGGCGUCGGCUCAACCGGCGUUAGCCUUUCGAACUGGCGGGCUUGAGUGCAGGAGGGGAAAGCGGAACUCCAGGUGUAGCGGUGAAAUGCGUAGAUAUCUGGAAGAACACCGGUGGCGAAGGCGGCUUUCUGGACUGUUACUGACACUGAGGCACGAAAGCGUGGGGAGCAAACAGGAUUAGAUACCCUGGUAGUCCACGCCGUAAACGAUGAGCGCUAGGUGUCGGGGCCUAUAAAGCCUCGGUGCCGCAGUUAACGCAUUAAGCGCUCCGCCUGGGGAGUACGCACGCAGUGUGAACUCAAGAUUGCGUGACG